GGGCGGAGGGGGCGUUGCACAAGGAGGAGGAUGAGUUGCUGCAUUUUUCAAAGGUCGUACCUAGGCUGCUGGUCCCAGGUCAGUCUUGGAACAGCAGAGCGUAUAGGAUUGCAGCUGUUUAUUCUGGAGCUGUGCCAAGCAAGCAGGCCACAUCUGUGAUAAGAAAACAGGCUCACUGCAGUUCACAUGCAUAUGGAGAUCAGAGGACAACUUGUGGGAGAAAAGUAUCUUGUAUUCAACGAUGCAGAUUCCAGGGACUAAACUCAGGUCAUCGGGCUUGGGACGUUUACAGCUUGUUUACACACUGAGCUGUCUUGCCAGCCCUGAGGACUUUUGGGACUUGGCUCUUCUUCUUCUCCAUCCUCAAUCUGGCUGUCUUUGCCUUAGAGACUUUCUUCUAUUAACUUCUCAUUUCUGACUCCAGCAAUGUAUGGGUCUGCAGAAGAGCUCACGAUAUGGAAGCACUAUUAGACCAUGAGAGUGCAAACCGAGUUUGCUCAAGUCCUUUCCAGAGCUGCUGGUGUCUAGUAAGGUUCAUAUGGUCAUGGCAUCUCAUCUCAUCUGUAUAGAUGCUCCGAUGAUCCUUUAUAUGACCUUGGAAGAGAGAGCAUAGAAAAAGAACAGGAUAGAGGGCUUGUGUGAAGCUCUGGAGGGGAUUACAAUGGAUCUGGACCCAAGAGAUUUUCCAUAGCUACUCAGCACCGUGGGGCUUGGAUGGACAACAACCCAAGACUCUUCCCUCUUGGCCCGUGUGCUUCCUUUUCUUUCACUCUUCAUGGCUUGAGAAAACAGCUGCCCCUUGUCAUCUCGUUAAAAAUUCAUCUAAUGUGGAAACAGGAAACGACUCUGGUUCUGAGGCAGUGAAACUGGGUCCCCUUGAGCAGGUGGCUUGGACACACCCACACUAAGAGGCACUGAGAGAACAGAUGGGCCUCAGGAAAGCAAUAUUAAACCCGAGCAGGGUCUAAGGAAGGGCUUUGUAGUUAAAUCAUGUUAGAGCAAGUUUGGUUCCAAGGGUCUCGUGACCCUUCUAAGCACACUCACACAUCUGGAUAUUGGAUUGAAUCCCAAAAGAAAUGCAUCCUUGAGGAUCAUCUAGGGACAGGCUUUUGAACGAAACAAGAGAACCGAAUGAUGAAUUGUCAUAUGGUUGAUGUUGACCAGGUGUUCAUCAUUAGAAGGCUGAACAAGAUGCAGGCCAUAAACACGACCCAGCAUUAGGAGAAAUGUGGAUGCUUUUGCUUAAUUACUUUCAACUCAGUGCCAGUCCAGGGUCUGGGAUGUGGUAGGUUUUUUACCACGAUUUGCUGACUGAAUAGAUGGGCUCUUGUGAAACUGCAUGACUGGGAAAAGUCUCACAAGCCACUUAUGCGUCUGGUUUGGAAGAGGGUUGGUGGCAAAAUACAAGAUUCUUAUAAGCGUUUUGACAUCAGGCUGGCCCAGCUGACGUACCAGCUCGAGCACCACCCAAAUUCAAGGCAGGAAAAGGCCUGGUGGAGGUUUUUAUGGUUGAGGGUUGGGUUUUGGAUUGUGAUGGUGGACUUCCAGCUGUGUUGAACCUCUCUCUUCCCACUGAAAUGCUACCCAUCAUACACACACACACACAAACAAUCUGGAAGGAAUGACGUCUCAUGAAUAGUUCGUAGGUCUCUGGGAAGCACUUCUCCUACCACAGAGCUGAUGGGAUGGGAUUAAGAAAUAAGUGUCAUUGACCUUAAAGAAAAAUAGAGCCACUUGCAUAGCAGAAUGUUUUGCUUCCUGUUGCUUUGGUUAGUUUUCUAAAUAAACAGCCCAUUUCAAAUUC